AUUGAACGCUGGCGGCAUGCUUUACACAUGCAAGUCGAACGGCAGCGCGGGCUUCGGCCUGGCGGCGAGUGGCGAACGGGUGAGUAAUGCAUCGGAACGUGCCCAGUAGUGGGGGAUAGCCCGGCGAAAGCCGGAUUAAUACCGCAUACGACCUGAGGGUGAAAGCGGGGGACCGAAAGGCCUCGCGCUAUUGGAGCGGCCGAUGUCGGAUUAGCUAGUUGGUGGGGUAAAGGCUUACCAAGGCGACGAUCCGUAGCUGGUCUGAGGGGACGACCAGCCACACUGGGACUGAGACACGGCCCAGACUCCUACGGGAGGCAGCAGUGGGGAAUUUUGGACAAUGGGGGCAACCCUGAUCCAGCCAUGCCGCGUGCGGGAAGAAGGCCUUCGGGUUGUAAACCGCUUUUGUUCGGGAAGAAAUCCUCUGGGCUAAUACCCCGGAGGGAUGACGGUACCGGAAGAAUAAGCACCGGCUAACUACGUG
rnacentral:rRNA from 1 species